rnacentral:lncRNA from 1 species
AGUUAGAUCUUGGAACUGAGUCCAGCAGCACUGAGGUCAGAGAGAUGGCUAAAGCUAAAAGCAAACUGGAUGCUGUUCAGGAGGUUCUCCUUUGUCAUUUUUAUCUCCAAAUAGAAGACCUCUGUUUUCCCAGAAGAUUAAAUAGUAGAAAAGAAGUAGCCCAAGGUGGGUGACUCUGCAAACAGGUGGGUGAGGUCUCUAGUUGAGUGAGGGGGUGUCUGUGGGUUGUGGGUUCUUCUUAUGAGCAGAGCUUGGAGGAAUUUGUUCUAUUUGUUGUGGUUUUCCCAGGGGGAAGUCGGGGGUGGCUGGGACUCUAAUGAUCAUUAUCAGAAGACUUUGGAUUAGGCCUCUGAAACUUUAAGAUGUGGAUCCUCUCGCAAUCAUGUUAAAAUGCAGAUCUCCUUUCAAUAGGUCUGGGACAGAGCCUGGCUUUUCUAUAAAGCUUCUGGUGAUGGGAUGUCGCUGGUUCUCAGCCACAAUUUGAGUAGCAAGAGCCCUGGACAACUUUCAGGAAGACAGUUCUGGUCUGUAGCAAUUAACACAUGGUCAUCCUCAGAAAAAGGUCCUCUCAAUUAUUUCCCAGAGAUACCCAUAACUUAAAAUGCAGGAACCAAGAGAUUUGAGCCUAGACAUUUGGAUGAAAAGCGAUUUCCACCUGGAGAAAGUCACUGCCCUUCUGUGCAGAGUACCAUUGUGUCUUGAAUCCAGCUUGGCCAUAAGGAAAUGGGGCGAGACUUUGUCAUGUAUGUCGCUGAAGUUCAGCUAUGCAAAAAUGUUCACCUAUCCUUGAUCAACCAGUCCAGGAACCAUCAAAGAAGAAAAUGAGAUUCGACUUAGAAGACCUGUUCUUUAUAAACCCCUGCACAGCCCUAAUGAUCAACACCACUUCCAGUGCUCAUAAAUUACUGCUUCAAUAAUUGUUCUGC